UUACAUACCUGGCAGGGGAGACACCAUGAUCAUGAAGGUGGUUCUCCCAGGGCGAGGCUCGGCCAUUGCACUCUGGCCGUGCUGAUUGUGGUUUCUUCCCUGCCGCUUCUCAGACUUUUGGCUAAGAUCAAGUGUAGUAUCUGUUCUUAUCAGUUGUCAGAGGAGUGCUGA